UGGGUUGGCGGGCUCCGUGCUACGGCAUCGAACCGUCCGCGCGCACUCCGCGUCAGUGAUGCAUCAAGAGUCUUCUUGUGCCUCGAACAGAUUCCUGUGUAUGCUACCUAUUGUAAAGGUAUGGCGCCUCUCGUUGACCCUUUUCCUUCCCCGACUCAUGCGGUCAGGGGGAGGACAUCAUAGUAGUGCCUGUGCUCCCCGCGUUGUGCGUGCCUUCUGGCGCGCACCUUGCGACGGUUCGCGGGUUGCUGCUGGAUGUCUCGGAUACUGUACAUUCGGUGGGCUUGGGGUCUUUGUACCCCCGAUGUCCAAAAUUCCAAGCGUUUUGUCGCUAGACAUGCACGACCGUCAUGCUCGUUACGGGAUCUCCCGCACGGUGCCUGACGUCGGCAAAAGGAAUGCUACCUGGUU
rnacentral:misc_RNA from 1 species